GCGGAAGUGGCUCAGUGGUAGAGCAUCGCCUUGCCAAGGCGAGGGGCGCGGGUUCGAAUCCCGUCUUCCGCU
rnacentral:tRNA from 1 species